AUACUUACCUGACGAGGACCAUACUGGGAUCAGGCAGCCAGUGGGUCCCAGGGCGAGGCUUUGCCAUUGCACAUCGGCUUAGCUGACCCUUGCGAUUACCCCAAAU
rnacentral:snRNA from 1 species